CAACAAGGCGCGUGCCCACUCUGCCCGCGUGCACGUCAGCACGUGAACGAGGGCGGGGUGGAGUUUACUUUACACUAGAUAACGCGGAACUCCAGCUUGGGAAUCAGAGGGAAGUUUCUGAGGAUAUUCUUUGUUAAAAUAUUAUGUAGCUUUUGAUGGCUUAGUUGGAUAAAACGUACUGUCCAAGAUAUUGGAUAUAAUUUGUUUAGUCCGAACAUUAGUGUGCACCAAUCAAGUUGAGUUCUGGCCUUUUUUAAAAGCUUUACAUUGGUUAAUCAGAUGACAACAUCCGCAUCGCAUCCCGGAGGUACAGGA